GAUGAACGCUGGCGGCGUGCCUAAUACAUGCAAGUCGAGCGAACAGACGCUAAGCUUGUUCCUUUGAUGUUAGCGGAGGACGGGUGAGUAACACGUGGAUAACCUACCUAUCAUACUGGGAAAACCUCGGGAAACCGGAGCUAAUACCGUAUAAUAUAUUGAUCCGCAUGGGUCAAUAGUGAAAGACGGUUUUGGUGUCACUUAUAGAUGGAUUCGCGCUGCAUUAGCUAGUUGGUAAGGUAACGGCUUACCAAGGCAACGAUGCGUAGCCGACCUGGGAGGGUGAUCGGCCACUCUGGAGCAUAGCCACGGUCCAGAGUCCUACGGUACUAAGCAGUAUGGUAUCUUCCGCAAUGGGCGGAAGCAUGACGGAACGACGCCGCGUGAGUAGUGGUAUCGUUCUGAGCGUAAAUAUGUGUUAUUAGCGAAGAACCUUUGUGUAAGUAACUGUGCCCUUCUUGACGGUACCUAAUCAGAAAGCCACGGCUAACUACGUG
rnacentral:rRNA from 1 species